UACGUAGGGGGCAAGCGUUGUCCGGAUUUAUUGGGCGUAAAGAGCGUGUAGGCGGCCAGGUAGGUCUGGUGUGAAAACUCGAGGCUUAACCUCGAGAUGUCAUCGGAAACCAUCUGGCUAGAGUCCGGAAGAGGAGAGUGGAAUUCCUGGUGUAGCGGUGAAAUGCGCAGAUAUCAGGAAGAACACCAAUGGCGAAGGCAGCUCUCUGGGACGGUACUGACGCUGAGACGCGAAAGCUAGGGGAGCGAACGGG
rnacentral:rRNA from 1 species